AUACGGAGGGUGCAAGCGUUGUUCGGAAUUACUGGGCGUAAAGCGAGUGUAGGCGGCUUCGUUAGUCGGAUGUGAAAUCCCAGGGCCCAACCCUGGAACUGCAUCCGAUACUGCGAAGCUAGAGUCCUGGAGAGGAUGGCGGAAUUCCGGGUGUAGAGGUGAAAUUCGUAGAUAUCCGGAGGAACACCAGUGGCGAAGGCGGCCAUCUGGACAGUGACUGACGCUGAGACUCGAAAGUGUGGGGAGCAAACAGGAUUAGAUACCCCGGUAGUCC
rnacentral:rRNA from 1 species